GUGAAGGAACUUAUCGGAGUAUUAAACUCACGUCGGCUGGUAAGAGGUAAGCCAUGGCCGCGUUCGAUCCAGCCUUCGUUCGACAAAGAAAGAGUACAAUCUUGGCUGGAAGAACUCAUACUUUGAUCUAGACAUCAUACAAAAGAUUUCAGCCAUCAGGGACGUCAACUUCAGAAUCUUCCCGGACACCAACUCGUCCUAAAUUCGAGUACUAUACAUCUAGUACACCUUGGACAGGAGGGAGAUCAACUCAGUUUGGAUUGUAAUAAUGAUGAUCAGGAGCCCCGAUGGAGACACAAUAUCGAGUUUGAAGCAAUGGAAGUAGAAAAAGCCACAGAAGCAGAAACACCGAAGAGUACAAGCAACUGUACUCCACAGUACAGUUGCUUGUAAGCCCAAGGUAUUUUUAAAAGUGUAUUAGCAGCAUACAUAAGUUAAAAUUGUAAUCGAUCUCCUAUAAAUUCAAUUCAUAAAUGUCGCUAYUUCAUAAGCUUACUUAAGCUGGCCAGGGCUUAUAUGAUUCUAUUAAUUAAUGUCUAGUUUGGUACGAUGAUUUUUUAAGCUUUAUAUCAUAACCAAAAUAAAUGCUGAAGUUAACACCACUAGUUGAUUUAAGACCAUUAAGGAGUUUUUUACAAUGCUUGUACAGUGUAUUUAUUAAUCUUAUAUAGUGAUCAGAAAUUUUAUUAAUUUUUGAGAAUUGUUGUUAUGAGAUGCAUUUCUUCAAUUGCUAUUUCAAAGGAAUUUAUAUUUUGUGUGUAAUCAUUUUUUCAUUGAAGUUCUUUUGUGACUGAGGUGUAUACAUGAUGUGUGCGAGGCUUCAGGUCUCGGUAUCGCAUCUUUACAUAUGUAUUGCUUGGUUAUGGACUGGGCUUCAGUGUUAAAAUGUUUACUUGACUAAAUUUGAGGUUACAUGUGCAUGCAUGAGAGAUGCUUUCUUACAAUUGGUAUUUCAAAGGAAUUUAUAUUUUGGUGUAAUCAUUUUUUCAUUGAAGUUCUUUUUGUAACUGAGGUGUAUACAUGAUGUGUGCGAGGCUCCAGGUCUCGGUAUCGCAUCUUUACAUAUGUAUUGCUUGGUUAUG